GCAUAUCAAUAAGCGGAGGAAAAGAAACCAACAGGGAUUGCCCCAGAUAACGGCGAGUGAAGCGGCAACAGCUCAAAUUUGAAAUCUGGUCCCCAGGGCCCGAGUUGUAAUUUGUAGAGGAUGCUUUUGGCAAGGUGCCUUCCGAGUUCCCUGGAACGGGACGCCAUAGAGGGUGAGAGCCCCGUCUGGUCGGACACCGAGCCUCUGUAAAGCUCCUUCGACGAGUCGAGUAGUUUGGGAAUGCUGCUCAAAAUGGGAGGUAUAUGUCUUCUAAAGCUAAAUAUAGGCCAGAGACCGAUAGCGCACAAGUAGAGUGAUCGAAAGAUGAAAAGCACUUUGAAAAGAGGGUUAAAAAGUACGUGAAAUUGUUGAAAGGGAAGCGCCUAUGACCAGACUUGAGCCCGGUGAAUCAUCCAGCGUUCUCGCUGGUGCACUUUGCCGGGCACAGGCCAGCAUCAGUUUGGCGCGGGGGAUAAAGGCUUUGGGAAUGUGGCUCCCUCGGGAGUGUUAUAGCCCAUUGCGCAAUACCCUGCGCCGGACUGAGGUACGCGCAUUCGCAAGGAUGCUGGCGUAAUGGUCAUCAGCGACCCGUCUUGAAACACGGACCAAGGAGUCGUCUUCGUAUGCGAGUGUUCGGGUGUUAAACCCCUACGCGUAAUGAAAGUGAACGCAGGUGAGAGCUUCGGCGCAUCAUCGACCGAUCCUGAUGUUCUCGGAUGGAUUUGAGUAAGAGCAUACGGGGCCGGACCCGAAAGAAGGUGAACUAUGCCUGUAUAGGGUGAAGCCAGAGGAAACUCUGGUGGAGGCUCGCAGCGGUUCUSACGUGCGAAUCGAUCGUCAAAUAUGGGCAUGGGGGCGAAAGACUAAUCGAACCUUCUAGUAGCUGGUUUCCGCCGAA
rnacentral:rRNA from 1 species